AGUUGCGAGGACACUGUUUGGUGGGUAGUUUGACUGGGGUGGUCGCCUCCAAAAGUGUAACGGAGGCUUCUAAAGGUGCCCUCACGCCGAUUGGUAACCGGCGGCAGAGUGUAAUGGCAUAAGGGCGCUUGACUGGGAGACUUACAAGUCGAUCAGGUAGGAAACUAGAGCAUAGUGAUCCGGUGUUUCCGUAUGGAAGGGACAUCGC
rnacentral:rRNA from 1 species